rnacentral:rRNA from 1 species
CUACGGGGCGCAGCAGUGGGGAAUAUUGCACAAUGGACGAAAGUCUGAUGCAGCAACGCCGCGUGGAGGAUGACACAUUUCGGUGCGUAAACUCCUUUUAUAUCCCAAGAUAAUGACGGUAGGAUAUGAAUAAGCGCCGGCUAACUCCGUGCCAGCAGCCGCGGUAAUACGGAGGGCGCAAGCGUUACUCGGAAUCACUGGGCGUAAAGAGCGUGUAGGCGGAUAGAUAAGUUGGGAGUGAAAUCCUAUGGCUUAACCAUAGAAUUGCUUCCAAAACUGUCUAUCUAGAAUAUGGGAGAGGUAGAUGGAAUUUCUGGUGUAGGGGUAAAAUCCGUAGAGAUCAGAAGGAAUACCGAUUGCGAAGGCGAUCUACUGGAACAUUAUUGACGCUGAGACGCGAAAGCGUGGGGAGCAAACAGGAUUAGAUACCCCUGUAGUC